AGUGAUUCAUUUUACGUAAUUUCAGACAAAUAAGAUUAGAACUCUUGGUUUUUAAAAAUGAGUUCAGGGAUGACGUAUAUUAAUCCCAAAGAAUCCCAGCCAUAAUAAAAUAACUGUUUGCUUUGAAUUUCUUUUAGUUAUUGAGGAACCAGAGAUUUCCUGCCUCCUAUCACCAUGCAGUGGAAACUGUUGUGAAUAUGCUGAUGCCACACAUCACUCAGAAAUUUCGAGAUAACCCUGAGGCAUCUAAGAAUGCAAAUCAUAGCCUCGCUGUCUUCAUCAAGGUGGGAUCUUCCUCAGAUGUGACUAAGAUGGGCUCUUUAAGUAGCUACCUUGCAAUGACUAGAGCAGGUGCUCCGACAGUAUUGGUGGCCUAUUUUUAUGCUGAAGUAUAAACUUACUGACAGUGGGUGCUGUUUAGAACCCUGAUUUCCAAAAAGUUUGGGCUUGAAAGGACCUUUGUGGUUGUCUUGCUCCACAGAGAUGCUUCACCUUCAUGGACAGGGGCUUCGUCUUUAAGCAGAUCAACAACUACAUCAGCUGCUUUGCUCCUGGAGACCCCAAGACUCUCUUUGAAUACAAGUUUGAAUUUCUCCGGGUGGUGUGCAGUCAUGAACAUUAUAUUCCUUUGAACUUACCGAUGCCAUUUGGAAAAGGCAGGAUUCAAAGAUACCAAGAUCUCCAGCUUGACUACUCAUUAACAGAUGAGUUCUGCAGAAACCACUUCUUGGUGGGACUGUUACUGAGGGAAGUGGGCACCGCCCUCCAGGAAUUUCGGGAGGUCCGUGUGAUUGCCAUCAGUGUGCUCAAGAACCUGCUGAUAAAGCAUUCUUUUGAUGACAGAUACGCAUCUAGGAGUCAUCAGGCAAGGAUAGCCACUCUCUACCUGCCUCUGUUUGGGCUACUUAUUGAAAAUGUCCAGCGGAUCAACGUGAGGGAUGUGUCACCCUUCCCCGUGAACCCAGGCAGUACUGUGAAGGAUGAGCCCCUUGCUCUGCCAGCUGGGAAUGCACUUGUGACGCCACAGAAGGGAAGCACGCUGGACCACAGCCUGCACAAAGACCUCUUAGGUGCCAUCUCUGGCAUUGCUUCUCCAUAUACAACUUCAACUCCAAACAUCAACAGUGUGAGAAGUGCUGACUCAAGAGGGUCUCUUAUAAGCACAGAUUCUGGUAACGGCCUUCCAGAAAGAAAUAGUGAGAAGAGCAAUUCCCUGGAUAAGGUAAUUUCUUUUCAUGUAAUAUAAGUGUUUUGUAUAACUAAUGGAUUUAGCCCAAAAUAAACGUGCUUCAUGUUCUAGGGUUUGUCAAAUGUAACUAAAAAACACCAAACAAACAACUUGGUUGACCUGGGAUACAUAAUCAGAACUUUGUCUAAGGUUAGAGGCCUGUCUCCUGAAACUCUUCCCUUUUUUAAAUUUAAAUUUAAAUUUAAUUUAAAUUUUAUUUUUAUUUUAUUUUAGUGUGUGUGUGUGUGUGUGUGUGUGUGUGUGUGUGUGUGUGUGUGUUGUGGUGCUAGGGAUCAAACCCAGGGCCUUACACAUGGUAGGGAAACGCUUUACCACUGAACUUCUCACCCAGCCCCUUGAAACACUUGAUUCCUGUUUCUGGGAUCUCAGAUCAGGGUAUCGUGUACAAUGCAGUGCCUUGAAUGAAUGAUUCUGGCAGGUUGGCACUUAGGGAAUCAAAAUGCUCUCUGUUUAGAUGUUCACAGUGUGUUGGAGGAUACUACUUAUAGCACAGUAUCCAUGCACAGGGCUUAGGUCCAAAGCCAGCUCCAGAAAAGAUUAAUUGAUCAUAUCAGUGAUUCAAGGAUGAGACAUGAUUUGAAAUCACUAUAUCCACCCUGGACCCACUAUACUUCCUCCCAUACUUAACCUUUUUUCUUAAAAUUAAUGAAGGCUCAAACUCUAGAACUUGGUGGCAAAACAUAAAGCUUGAAUUUAAACCUGGA
rnacentral:lncRNA from 1 species